GGGAUAACAUUCUGAAAAGAAUGCUAAUACCGCAUGACAUAUCGGAACCACAUGGCUCUGAUAUCAAAGAUUUUAUCGCUUGAAGAUGGACUCGCGUCCGAUUAGUUAGUUGGUGAGGUAACGGCUCACCAAGACCGCGAUCGGUAGCCGGACUGAGAGGUUGAACGGCCACAUUGGGACUGAGACACGGCCCAGACUCCUACGGGAGGCAGCAGUGGGGGAUAUUGCGCAAUGGGGGCAACCCUGACGCAGCAACGCCGCGUGAAGGAUGAAGGUUUUCGGAUUGUAAACUUCUUUUAUUAAGGACGAAAAAUGACGGUACUUAAUGAAUAAGCUCCGGCUAACUACGUGCCAGCAGCCGCGGUAAUACGUAGGGAGCAAGCGUUGUCCGGAUUUACUGGGUGUAAAGGGUGCGUAGGCGGCUUUGCAAGUCAGAUGUGAAAUCUAUGGGCUCAACCCAUAAACUGCAUUUGAAACUGUAGAGCUUGAGUGAAGUAGAGGCAGGCGGAAUUCCCCGUGUAGCGGUGAAAUGCGUAGAGAUGGGGAGGAACACCAGUGGCGAAGGCGGCCUGCUGGGCUUUAACUGACGCUGAGGCACGAAAGCGUGGGUAGCAAACAGGAUUAGAUACCCUGGUAGUCCACGCUGUAAACGAUGAUUACUAGGUGUGGGGGGUCUGACCCCUUCCGUGCCGGAG
rnacentral:rRNA from 1 species